AUAAGAAAUCAACCAAAAAGGCUGGAAAGAAAUCGGGGAAGGCGGCUAAGGAUCCAAACAAGCCAAAGAGGCCUGCUAGCUCCUUCUUCGUUUUCAUGGAGGAGUUUCGUGUGCAAUACAAGAAGGAGCACCCUAAAAAAAAUCCGUUGCUACAGUUGGCAAAGCUGGUGGAGAUAAAUGGAAGAGCCUGUAUGAGGCUG